rnacentral:rRNA from 1 species
GACGAACGCUGGCGGCGUGCUUAACACAUGCAAGUCGAACGGAAAGGCCCUGCUUUUGUUGGGUUCUCGAUUGGCGAACGGGUGAGUAACACGUGAGUAACCUGCCCUUGACUUUGGGAUAACUUCAGGAAACUGGGGCUAAUACCGGAUAGGAUCUCCUGCUGCAUGGUGGGGGUUGGAAAGUUUCGGCGGUUGGGGAUGGACUCGCGGCUUAUCAGCUUGUUGGUGGGGUAGUGGCUUACCAAGGCUUUGACGGGUAGCCGGCCUGAGAGGGUGACCGGCCACAUUGGGACUGAGAUACGGCCCAGAAUCCUACGGGAGGCAGCAGUGGGGAAUAUUGCACAAUGGGCGGAAGCCUGAUGCAGCAACGCCGCGUGCGGGAUGACGGCCUUCGGGUUGUAAACCGCUUUCGCCUGUGACGAAGCGUGAGUGACGGUAAUGGGUAAAGAAGCAACGGCUAACUACGUG